CUCCUGCUCUCCUUGAGGAUAGGGACCUCUGUGUCCUGCCCACUUCUCCUGGCCCCCUGCAGGUGCUUAAUAAAUAUCUGUUGGCUAAAUGAAAGCCCCAAAUAGUAACAUUAUUUUAUUGAAUGGGGUGAACUGUUUGUGUAGACGGGUACCUGUGAUCACAAACUCACAUUGGAGAGCGGUGUGUAUUCCAUCACAAAGUUUAGACAAUGAAUUUGGGAACCUUCCAGUCUCCAAAUGGUUGAUGAGAAACAGUGACGUAGCUCUCAGAUAAGACCCAGAGUCUGGCUUUCAUUUCACUCUGCAAGACCAACUUUGGAGAGGCCCAGACUGGGGAUAAUCAUUUCAGACAGCGGCUCUAGCUCCCAUCUGGAGGCAAAGAACCUCAGUACUUUUCCAUGCCAGGAUCCAACUCCAGAUCCACCCUGCUCUGCCACAAACCUAACUGGGCAGGUCUCGUCUAUCUCAGCAAAUCAUCUUCAGAGCGUUCCUUUUAGGCAGGCUCACCCUGGCUAAUCCGGGAAGAGGCUGGAGAAACUCCCAUCCAAAGUGGAGCCACAGGCAAAACUAGAAAGUGGCAGAGGAAGCGUGUUUCUCCUUGUCAUACUACUCUUCACGGCCCUCUCCCUCUACAUGGAUCCAAAGAGAAUCCCUCUGAUGCUCUUGAGCGGACAGCAGUGCCGGAGGCCAGGCACAGAUGCCCUGACCCUCUCUCGGUGAAGCGAUUGCAUUGAAACCCCCAGCAGCAAGCACCGGGGCCCUGUGUGACCCGGAUUCCAGGAAACCCAUUCACUUCUAGGACUGAGCAUCCUGCCUGCUUCCCGGCUGUUCCUAAAAAGGCUUUGCACGUUCAGCUCGGCUCUCUGGUACAUUUCGGCAUGAAGGAGGUUAAUAAGGUUCUUCAAGAGAAACGGAAGAAGAGAGCAUGGAACAGAGGAACGGUACCCCUGCAUGUUCUGCAUCCUCUUUCAGGCAGCCCUCCCGGCUUCAUAGUGACCCUCUAUCAGCCCCCGACCAACAGUGUGCUGCCUUCACCAGACCUGUCAUGCAAAUAAUUGUGUGUUCAAUAUUACACUGUGCUGUCUAGGUAGUUGCUGUCUUUGUCCGUGACAUUUAGGGCGCUUUACACCAGAGUUUUGCAACCUUGCCACUAUAGACAUCUGGGUGGGAUAAGUCUUUGUCGUGGGGGCUGCCCUGAGCACUGUAGGAUGGUUAGCAGCUUCCCUGAACCUCUACCUACUAGAUGCCAGUAGCAACACCCCUCUCAAAUUCUGACAACCAAAAAUGACUCCAGACAUUGUCAAACGUCUCUGGGGGGAAGGGGGAUUCACCACCCACCCCCAUUAAGAACCACUGCUUAGAAUACUGCAUACAGGAUCCCCAGCAUGUGCUUUUUGCUCUGAAGUUGUUGUCAGUGAAGAUAGAUGGCAAAAUCUAACCAGAGAAUUAGUGGCCUGGAAGUCAGAAGUCCCGGGGUCAAGUCCCACUUCCCACCUGUGUGCCCUUAAGCAAAUUAUAUAGCCUCUCUGAGCUUCAGGUUUCCCCGAUGAGUAUUGGGGAUAAUCAACAAGGAAAGGGAUUUGAGUCUGUUUUGUUCACUCCUGUAUCCCCAAUUAAUCUAGAAUAGUACAUACUACAUAGUAAGUGCUCCAUAAAAAUGUGUUGACUGACUGAAUUUCUGCCCUGCUUCCCUCCCAGGGCUUCUGCAGGGUUCAGAUGAAAAACUCUGUGCAAACUUCCAUCAUUGAGGGAUCAUGGAAAAUAUUGCACCCUGUCCAAACUCAGAACACAGAUGCCACUGGCUGGCAUUUUCUGAACUAAUUUUAUAAACACGUAAGGAUUCAUAAUAGCCAAAUACUGGAAACAACCUACAUGUCCUUGGAUAGAUGAGUGGUUAAACUGUGGUAGAUCCACACCGUGGUGGAAUACUAUGUAGCAAUAAAAAGGAACAGCUCCUCGAGGCAUGCAGCAAUCUGGAUGGCUCUCAAGGGAAGCAUGCUGAGUUAAAAAAGCCAAUCUCGAAAGGUCCCAUACUGUAUGAUUCCAUUCAUAGAAUAUUCUUGAAAUCACCAAAUUUUGGAGAUGAAGAAACAUUGCCAGGGGUUGUGGUUGUGCCAGCAUGGGUGCGGCUUCCACUGCGCAGCAUGAUGGAGCUUGUGGGAACGGGACAGUUCUGGAUACUGAGGGGGAGGGGCUGGUUACAUGAACCUGUACACAUGAUAGAACUGCACAGCCCUACACACAGAUAGACUCACACACAAAUGAAUAGAGGUGGACCCGGAAAUCCAAAUAAGUUCUGUGGGUUGUACCAAUGUCAAUUUCAACGUCAAUCUCCUGGCUGCACUACUGCUCCAAGGACUGGGUGAGGGACACACAAGACCUCCCCGGGAAUUUUUUUUUUUUUUUUGCAAUUUCCUAUGAAUCUGUUAUUAUUUCAAAAUAAAGAUUUGAAUCUGAGGAAAACAAAUACCCAGGGACAAAAGGGAAGAAAGAAUUCCCUAAAACAUGUGCAGCAUAAAAAUAGUUAAAUUCCCCAGAUCACUAGAGGAGGUGAGAGACUCAGACCACUAACUCAAGCUGGCAGGAAAUGGAACUAUUUUUCCAUGACUCAGCCAGAUUUAUCUUAGGAGCCCCUAUUCUGCCAGGUGGCAGAAAUGCUUUCCUUCUCCCUCCCCUCACCCCCUGCUGGGGUUGCAUCUAAAUUCUGAAGCCUUGUGUCAUGCCAAAGCCUCCUAGGGGCACAUCUGGUGUGGAUGCCAUCCAUCCCUGUCCCCACACUGGUUGCUGGGCUGUUGGUCCCGGCAAGUCCAUGCUGAGCCUGAGGGAACUCUCACAGGACAAGUCACUACCUGGUAUCUUCUGACUCACAUGUAGUCCACAGAUACAUUUCAUUUGAUCCAUAGCGUAUUUUAAAAGAUCACUUGCCAAUAUCUGAAAUGGGAAUUUUCACAUAAGCAUCUAGAUAUUUGAAAGAAAAACAAGAUAUUGGUGUCUUGUAAAAAAUAUGUUCAUGUUUUGUAAAAAAUAAUAUUUUCAU